AGGGUUCGAUUCUGGCUCAGGAUGAACGCUAGCGGCAGGCUUAACACAUGCAAGUCGAGGGGCAGCGGGAUGUAGCAAUACAUUGCCGGCGACCGGCGGAUGGGUGCGUAACGCGUAUGCAACCUACCUUAUACAGGGGAAUAACCUUUCGAAAGGGAGACUAACACCCCAUAGUAUUGAUUUAAGGCAUCUUAGAUUAAUUAAAUAUUUAUAGGUAUAAGAUGGGCAUGCGUAUGAUUAGCUAGUUGGUAAGGUAACGGCUUACCAAGGCGACGAUCAUUAGGGGUUCUGAGAGGAAGGUCCCCCCACACUGGUACUGAGACACGGACCAGACUCCUACGGGAGGCAGCAGUGAGGAAUAUUGGUCAAUGGGCGCAAGCCUGAACCAGCCAUGCCGCGUGCAGGAAAGACGGCCUUAUGGGUUGUAAACUGCUUUUACAUAAGACUAACCGUAUAUUUGCGAAUAUACCUGAAUGUAUUAUGAGAAUAAGGAUCGGCUAACUCCGUGCCAGCCGCAGC
rnacentral:rRNA from 1 species